rnacentral:rRNA from 1 species
UUAGCAGCAAGGUCCAUAUCUGACUUUUUGUUAACGUAUUUAGCCACAUAGAAACCAACAGCCAUAUAACUGGUAGCUUUAAGCGGCUCACCUUUAGCAUCAACAGGCCACAACCAACCAGAACGUGAAAAAGCGUCCUGCGUGUAGCGAACUGCGAUGGGCAUACUGUAACCAUAAGGCCACGUAUUUUGCA